GGCAAGAUGGCCGAGCGGUCUAAGGCGCUAGCUUCAGGAAUCUGAAUCUGCUAGUCCGAAAGGGCGUGGGUUCGAAUCCCACUCUUGUCA